GCGCCCGUAGCUCAGUUGGAUAGAGUACCAGCUUCCGAAGCUGGGUGUCGGGGGUUCGAAUCCCUCCGGGCGCGCCA
rnacentral:tRNA from 1 species